rnacentral:rRNA from 1 species
AAUAGAUACCCCGGUAGUCCACGCCGUAAACGAUGAGUGCUAAGUGUUAGAGGGUUUCCGCCCUUUAGUGCUGCAGCUAACGCAUUAAGCACUCCGCCUGGGGAGUACGGUCGCAAGACUGAAACUCAAAGGAAUUGACGGGGGCCCGCACAAGCGGUGGAGCAUGUGGUUUAAUUCGAAGCAGCGCGAAGAACCUUACCAGGUCUUGACAUCCCACUGACCGGUAUAGAGAUAUACCUUUCCCUUCGGGGACAGUGGUGACAGGUGGUGCAUGGUUGUCGUCAGCUCGUGUCGUGAGAUGUUGGGUUAAGUCCCGCAACGAGCGCAACCCUUGAUCUUAGUUGCCAGCAUUUAGUUGGGCACUCUAAGGUGACUGCCGGUGACAAACCGGAGGAAGGUGGGGAUGACGUCAAAUCAUCAUGCCCCUUAUGACCUGGGCUACACACGUGCUACAAUGGAUGGUACAAAGGGCUGCAAGACUGCGAAGUCAAGCCAAUCCCAUAAAACCAUUCUCAGUUCGGAUUGCAGG